CCAUCAACAGCUGAAGUUGGAGCACUCCAGAGGUUUAUAAACACCAUGAGCAACACAAUAUGUGCCCCUCGCGACCAAAUUAUAGAAAAGGAAGGAGACCUAAAGAAGUUAAGGUGUACACCAUCAACUUGGAGUUUCGUUACCUGAUGGUGUAAGGAGUCCCAGUCCCAGCCAUGACAGAACUAAUCCAGCUCUCUGCGCUGUACAGGUUUGUGGAGGAGGGCUGGAUGAGUACCCUGCAGAGGAAUUCAGAGGUCUACCUCAUCAAGUUCCAGAAACUCACCAGUGCAAGGGCAGCCAAACGGCAUAUGGAUGAGAAGAGAUUCUUUGGAGGUUUACUACAUGUGCUAUGCCACUGAGUAUGAGACAGUGGAGGACACCAGAUUAAAGCUGCAAGACAGGAGAUGAUAUCUGAAUAGAACGGCUCCAAAUAACGGUACAGAUGCUGUGUUAAUCGAGUAUUAUCAGAACUAUAUCUGUCAUUCACAACAUAGGCAUUACUAUUAUGAUGCAGUUAGUUGACACAUACUGUAUGAUUCUCAAUUUGUCUUGUUUGGUUGUGGAGCAAAAGAACAGGACCAGAGGGAUGAAGAGAGCAAAAAGCCCAUGUCUUCAGAUACAGUUGCUACCACAGCCAGGACUUCCUUCGGUGAUGAUCAGAGAUCCGGUGAUACCGGCAAUCAGGAAGAGACUUUGACUCUUGAGCCAAUUGUAAGCUGGGGAUGAUUAGGUGACCAUGAUUGUACAAGAGCCAGAUUGGGAAUUUAGCCAGGACACCGGGGUUAACACCCCUACUCUUACGAUAAGUGCCAUGGGAUCUUUUUUUAGUGACCACAGAGAGUCAGCACACCCGUUCAACAUCCCCCGACACAGAGCAAUGUCCCCAAUCAUUGCUCUGGGGCAUUGGGAUAUUUUUUUAGACAAGCGGAAAGGGUGCCUCCUACUAGCCCUCCAACACCACUUCCACCAGCAUCUGCUCUCCCAUCCAGGGACUGACCAGGACCAACCCUGCUUAGCUUCAGAUGUGCCCCGUUUUAUGAUCGGUCUUAUAGUUAUCAGGCAAUUAUCAGACUAUUCCAACAGAGGACAAAAUGGGGUCAUUGCAUAAUUCCAUAAUAAACCGCAGCAGGCACCCAAUGUAAGUGGCACUCCCUCCUCUUCUGGGGGAAACAGAGGGAAAAGACUGAGUAAGAAUCCACCCCCUGCAGUACCCUCCAGAUUCAUACCAAGGACAACACAUUUGGAGAACAGAAAAUGGAAAAUGGUAGAAAUGAGUAAAGACUUUUUGGCAUUGUGGACAAAAAUGAAACCCUCAUUGAACCAAACUACCAGAGUAGCCUAAGAUGGAUAUGGCGGAUGAGUCAUUGAACACAACAGCCAACAUGGUCAGAAAUACAUUGAAAAAGGUAGCAUCAGUUCCUGAAGUCAAGCCAACAGAGAAGAAGACAAAGCCAGGAAAGCCUCGGAAGAGAAUCUAACAGGGAAAAGGAAAGGGGGAAACCUAGUCAGCUGUCCAACUGAAUGUAUUCAACUGAAAUGUGUCUUCCGCAUUUAACCCAACCACUCUGAAUCAGAGAGGUGCGGAGGGCUGCCUUAAUCGACAUCCACGUCUUCACCGCCUGGGGAACAGUGGGUUAACUGCCUUGCUCAGGGACAGAACAGACUCCGUGUUCCGAAACGGACAGCAUCACACAGAAGAUAAUGCAUACAUUUCAUCAAGUUCCUAGACUUUACACCAAUUAGACGGUACUUCAUCUUUUCUCAACGUGUUUCAUUUUUAUAUUUCUCAUCAGAGUAUAAGAAGUUUUUUAUAUAUAUUUUUAUUUGUUUAUAUAUAUUUGCAGUUUCAUGAAAAUGAAUAAAGUAGUGUUGUCCUUAAUGCUCAAGUGUAUC